CGAACCGCGGCGGGAGAGCUCCCGCAGAAGGUUGCGGGGCGCCGAAGGAGCAACCCUCCCCGGGAAUCUCUCAGGCCCCUGUACCGCCACGGCGAG
rnacentral:ncRNA from 2 species